ACGACUGCUAAGACUGGAUAGGAAAUUAAGAGGCAUCUUUUAAUUUUUAAAAGACCUUUUUCGAAAGGUAUGCUUAAAGAGGGGCUUGCGCCACAUUAGUUAGUUGGUAAGGUAAAGGCUUACCAAGACGAUGAUGUGUAGCUGGACUGAGAGGUCGAACAGCCACAUUGGGACUGAGACACGGCCCAAACUCCUACGGGAGGCAGCAGUAAGGAAUUUUUGGCAAUGGAGGAAACUCUGACCGAGCGACGCCGCGUGGACAAUGAAGUACUUCGGUAUGUAAAGUUCUUUUAUUGAAAAAGAAAAAAUAGUGGAAAAACUAUCUUGACAUUAUUCAAUGAAUAAGCCCCGGCUAAUUAUGUGCCAGCAGCCGCGGUAAUACAUAAGGGGCGAGCGUUAUCCGGAAUUAUUGGGCGUAAAGGGUGCGUAGGCGGUUUGAUAAGUCUAUAGUUUAAAUGCAGUGCUUAACGCUGUAGCGCUAUAGAAACUGUCUGACUAGAGUUAGAUAGAGGCAAGCGGAAUUCCAUGUGUAGCGGUAAAAUGCGUAAAUAUAUGGAGGAACACCAGAGGCGUAGGCGGCUUGCUGGGUCUUAACCGACGCUGAGGCACGAAAGCGUGGGGAGCAAACAGGAUUAGAUACCCUGGUAGUCCACGCCGUAAACGAUGAGUACUAAGUGUCGGGUUUCGGCUCGGUACUGAAGUUAACACAUUAAGUACUCCGCCUGAGUAGUACGUACGCAAGUAUGAAACUUAAAGGAAUUGACGGGACCCCGCACAAGCGGUGGAUCAUGUUGUUUAAUUCGAAGAUACACGAAAAACCUUACCAGGUCUUGACAUAAUUUUGCGACAUUAUAGAAAUAUAAUGAAGGUUAUCAGAAUUACAGGUGGUGCAUGGUUGUCGUCAGCUCGUGUCGUGAGAUGUUAGGUUAAGUCCUAAAACGAGCGCAACCCUUGUCGUUAGUUGCGACCACGUAAUGGUGAGCACUUUAGCGAGACUGCCAAUGAAAAAUUGGAGGAAGGUGAGGAUUACGUCAAAUCAUCAUGCCCCUUAUGAUCUGGGCUACAAACGUGAUACAAUGGCUGUUACAAAGAGUAGCUACAACGUGAGUUUUUAGCCAAUCUCAAAAAAACAGCCUCAGUUCGGAUUGAAGUCUGCAACUCGACUUCAUGAAGUUGGAAUCGCUAGUAAUCGCGAAUCAGCAUGUCGCGGUGAAUACGUUCUCGGGGUUUGUACACACCGCCCGUCA
rnacentral:rRNA from 1 species